AUUGAACGCUGGCGGCAGGCCUAACACAUGCAAGUCGACCGGCUGAAGGGAGCUUGCUCCUGGAUUCAGCGGCGGACGGGUGAGUAAUGCCUAGGAAUCUGCCUGGUAGUGGGGGAUAACGUCCGGAAACGGGCGCUAAUACCGCAUCCGUCCUGAGGGAGAAAGUGGGGGAUCUUCGGACCUCACGCUAUCAGAUGAGCCUAGGUCGGAUUAGCUAGUUGGUGGGGUAAAGGCCUACCAAGGCGACGAUCCGUAACUGGUCUGAGAGGAUGAUUAGUCACACUGGAACUGAGACACGGUCCAGACUCCUACGGGAGGCAGCAGUGGGGAAUAUUGGACUAUGGGCGAAAGCCUGAUCCAGCCAUGCCGCGUGGGUGAAGAAGGUCUUCGGAUUGUAAAGCACUUUAAGUUGGGAGGAAGGGCAGUAAGUUAAUACCUUGCUGUUUUGACGGUACCAACAGAAUAAGCACCGGCUAACUUCGUG
rnacentral:rRNA from 1 species